rnacentral:rRNA from 1 species
UACGAAGGGGGCUAGCGUUGUUCGGAAUCACUGGGCGUAAAGCGCACGCAGGCGGGUCGUUAAGUCAGGGGUGAAAUCCCGAGGCUCAACCUCGGAACUGCCUUUGAUACUGGCGACCUUUGAGUCCGGGAGAGGUGAGUGGAACUCCGAGUGUAGAGGUGAAAUUCGUAGAUAUUCGGAAGAACACCAGUGGCGAAGGCGGCUUACUGGCCCGGUACUGACGCUCUGUGCGAAAGCGUGGGGAGCAAACAGGG